rnacentral:rRNA from 1 species
UGGGGAAUAUUGCACAAUGGGGGAAACCCUGAUGCAGCGACGCCGCGUGAGCGAAGAAGGCUUUCGAGUCGUAAAGCUCUGUCCUAUGAGAAGAUAAUGACGGUAUCAUAGGAGGAAGCCCUGGCUAAAUACGUGCCAGCAGCCGCGGUAAUACGUAUGGGGCGAGCGUUGUCCGGAAUUAUUGGGCGUAAAGGGUACGUAGGCGGUUUUUUAAGUCAGGUGUCAAAGCGUGGAGCUUAACUCCAUUAAGCACUUGAAACUGAAAGACUUGAGUGAAGGAGAGGAAAGUGGAAUUCCUAGUGUAGCGGUGAAAUGCGUAGAUAUUAGGAGGAAUACCGGUGGCGAAGGCGACUUUCUGGUCUUUUACUGACGCUCAGGUACGAAAGCGUGGGGAGCAAACAGG